UUGACAGAAGAGAGUGAGCACACAGAGGUAAUUGUAUAGAGGCUAUACCUUUACUUUUGCGUGCUCAUUUCUCUUUCCGUCAA
rnacentral:pre_miRNA from 1 species